CUCAACUGAAUUUUUUUUUAAUGAUAAAGCAUUUAUCAUCACCUAUUUCUUUUCUUUUAGAUGAUCCAGCUCCAAUUGCUGUGCAGGUCAGGACAGUCCCAUUGAACUCAGCAUCCCUAGUGUGGCCACAAGUGUGACCCCAAAGUUUUAAUACCUGGGUUCCUCAGGAGAGAAGAAUUUCCAGCAGAGAAGUCCUUGGGGAGAAUAAAGCCCCCAAGUUAUUAGAGUGUGUUGACAUGCCCCUCUUUCCAAAGACAGCAAAAAAAUUUGGAUAUAGAUUUUUUGGGAUCUGGCCAAGAGCACUGAUGAUAAUCAAGAACAGUUUCACCUCUGCUGCCACUCUCCAGCUUCUCCAAAUGGAAUCACAAGACUUAACACUGGUCUUGCAAAAGAGAACACGUCUGGGAGGUGAAACAUGAGGUGUUAGAGUUAUUCCCAGUUCCACCCUGGGGUACAGGCCUUUGAGCUAACACCGAGAUAUCCCCCAAACUGAUUUUGGGGCAAACAGGCAGAGAAGUGUGGGGUUUGCUGUAGACUCAUUUCCCUGGGCUGGAAGCAGGCUAUGGCUCCAAUCCAUGGCCACAGGGGAAGUUUGGUUCGU
rnacentral:lncRNA from 1 species